AUAGUAAUUGUUUAACUAACCUGGCGAAGGUUAAUUCUUUUUAGCAUGCAGUGUGAAGUAUUUCACUCAGUUCCCUUAUUUCAUUCAAUUUCAGCAAGUAAAAAACAAAUGUAUACUCACGUGAAUCAUGUAUUAUGCACGUUAGCGUCUCUGAUAGACAGCAUGUUGAAACCGCUCAGGCCGCCAUUUUGCUUUUCUCGGACAGUGAUUUGACAGUCAAACAUUCAGGAACUCCAGGAAACGCACACAGUCGUUCUGGACCGCUGCUUUUUGUAAAAACUACCAUGUAUUCUGCACGUUAUUUUUUAUUUUAUUUAUUUAUUUAUUUAUUUUUUGCGAUAUUCAAAUGAUGUGGAUUUGAAAACAGAUGGAUCGUAAGAUGGCUGUUUUCUUCGGUCAUUCAGUGAUGACAGCUAGGUUCAACUUACCAAUCACAGUGGGUUCCAGAUCAACAAAGAUGGCACGUGGAACAUGUUUCCCUGCUCCUGUCUCACUGAAGAAGGUGUUGAAGGAAUCGUCUCCUCCUCCUAUUGUCUUAUCACUGGGC